rnacentral:rRNA from 1 species
GAUGAACGCUGGCGGCGUGCCUAAUACAUGCAAGUCGAGCGAACAGACGAGGAGCUUGCUCCUUCGACGUUAGCGGCGGACGGGUGAGUAACACGUAGGUAACCUACCUAUAAGACUGGGAUAACUUCGGGAAACCGGAGCUAAUACCGGAUAAUAUUUCGAACCGCAUGGUUCGAUAGUGAAAGAUGGCUUUGCUAUCACUUAUAGAUGGACCUGCGCCGUAUUAGCUAGUUGGUAAGGUAACGGCUUACCAAGGCAACGAUACGUAGCCGACCUGAGAGGGUGAUCGGCCACCCUGGAAGUGAGAAACGGUCCAGACUCCUACGGGAGGCAGCAGUAGGGAAUCUUACGCAAUGGGGGAAAGCCUGACGGGGCAACGCCGCGUGAGUGAUGAAGGUGUUCGGAUCGUAAAACUCUGUUAUUAGGGGAGAACAAACGUGUAAGUAACUGUGCACGUCUUGACGGUACCUAAUCAGAAAGCCACGGCUAACUACGUG